rnacentral:rRNA from 1 species
GUGGGGAAUCUUAGACAAUGGGGGAAACCCUGAUCUAGCCAUGCCGCGUGAGCGAUGAAGGCCUUAGGGUUGUAAAGCUCUUUCAGCUGGGAAGAUAAUGACGGUACCAGCAGAAGAAGCCCCGGCUAACUCCGUGCCAGCAGCCGCGGUAAUACGGAGGGGGCUAGCGUUGUUCGGAAUUACUGGGCGUAAAGCGCACGUAGGCGGAUCAGAAAGUCAGAGGUGAAAUCCCAGGGCUCAACCUUGGAACUGCCUUUGAAACUCCUGGUCUUGAGGUCGAGAGAGGUGAGUGGAAUUCCGAGUGUAGAGGUGAAAUUCGUAGAUAUUCGGAGGAACACCAGUGGCGAAGGAGGCUCACUGGCUCGAUACUGACGCUGAGGUGCGAAAGCGUGGGGAGCAAACAGGAUUAGAAACCCCUGUAGUCC